GAUGAACGCUAGCGAUAGGCCUAACACAUGCAAGUCGAGGGGCAUCACAUGAGGCAGCAAUGCCGAUGGUGGCGACCGGCGCACGGGUGAGUAACACGUAUGCAACCUGCCUGUAAGCGGGGGAUAACCCGUUGAAAGACGGACUAAUACCGCAUAAUACUGGAGAUCUGCAUGGAUAUUCAGUUAAACAUUUAUGGCUUACAGAUGGGCAUGCGCAUGAUUAGAUAGUUGGAGAGGUAACGGCUCCCCAAGUCAACGAUCAUUAGGGGUUCUGAGAGGAAGGUCCCCCAACUGGUACUGAGACACGGACCAGACUCCUACGGGAGGCAGCAGUGGGGAAUUUUGGACAAUGGGGGCAACCCUGAUCCAGCCAUGCCGCGUGAGUGAAG
rnacentral:rRNA from 1 species